rnacentral:rRNA from 1 species
CCUACGGGGUGCAGCAGUGGGGAAUAUUGGACAAUGGGCGAAAGCCUGAUCCAGCCAUGCCGCGUGUGUGAAGAAGGCCUUCGGGUUGUAAAGCACUUUCAGUGGGGAAGAAAGCCUUGGGGCUAAUACCCUCGAGGAAGGACAUCACCCACAGAAGAAGCACCGGCUAACUCCGUGCCAGCAGCCGCGGUAAUACGGAGGGUGUGAGCGUUAAUCGGAAUUACUGGGCGUAAAGCGCGCGUAGGCGGUCUGAUAAGCCGGUUGUGAAAGCCCCGGGCUCAACCUGGGAACGGCAUCCGGAACUGUCAGGCUAGAGUGCAGGAGAGGAAGGUAGAAUUCCCGGUGUAGCGGUGAAAUGCGUAGAGAUCGGGAGGAAUACCAGUGGCGAAGGCGGCCUUCUGGACUGACACUGACGCUGAGGUGCGAAAGCGUGGGUAGCAAACAGGAUUAGAUACCCGUGUAGC